rnacentral:tRNA from 1 species
AGGGGCGUAGCUCAGAUGGUAGAGCGCUCGCUUAGUGUGCGAGAGGUACAGGGAUCGAUACCCCGCGCCUCCA